rnacentral:rRNA from 1 species
AAGAUUGGACAAUGGGCGCAAGCCUGAAUCCAGCCAUGCCGCGUGGGUGAUGAAGGCCCUAGGGUUGUAAAGCCCUUUCGGCGGGGAAGAUAAUGACGGUACCCGCAGAAGAAGCCCCGGCUAACUUCGUGCCAGCAGCCGCGGUAAUACGAAGGGGGCAAGCGUUGCUCGGAAUCACUGGGCGUAAAGCGCACGUAGGCGGCUUUUUAAGUCAGGGGUGAAAUCCUGGAGCUCAACUCCAGAACUGCCUUUGAUACUGAGAAGCUUGAGUCCGGGAGAGGUGAGUGGAACUGCGAGUGUAGAGGUGAAAUUCGUAGAUAUUCGCAAGAACACCAGUGGCGAAGGCGGCUCACUGGCCCGGUACUGACGCUGAGGUGCGAAGGCGUGGGGAGCAAACAGGAUUAGAUACCCUGGUAGUCCACGCCGUAAACGAUGGAUGCUAGCCGUCGUCGGGUUUACCCGUCAGUGGCGCAGCUAACGCAUUAAGCAUCCCGCCUGGG